rnacentral:lncRNA from 1 species
GGGUCCUUUAGGGGUCUAUGGGGUUCUAUAGGGGUCCUAUGGGUGUCUAUGGGGUUCUAUGAGGGUCCUAUAGGGGUCUAUGAGGUUCUGUGGGAUCCUAUGGGAUCCUAUAGGGUUCUGUGGGGUCCUAUGGGGUCCUAUGGGGUUCUGUGGGGGUCCUAUGGGGGUCUAUGGGGUCCUAUGGGGGUCCUUUAGGGGUCUAUGGGGUUCUAUGGGGGUCCUAUGGGAUCCUAUAGGGUUCUGUGGGGUCCUAUGGGGUUCUGUGGGGUCUAUGCAGUCCUAAGGGGUCCUAUAGGGUUCUGUGGGCUUCAGUAGGGUUCCGGGGCUCCUACGGGAUCCUAUAGGGUUCUGUGGGGUUCUAUGGGAUCCUAUGGGGGUCUAUGGGGUUCUGUGGGUUCCUAUGGGGUUCUGUGGGGUUCUAUGGGAUCCUAUGGGGGUCCUAUGGGGGUCUAUGGGGUUCUGUGGGGGUCCUAUAGGCGUCUAUGGGGUUCUGUGGGAUCCUAUAGGCGUCUAUGGGUUCCUGUGGGAUCCUAUAGGGGUCAAAGGGGUUCUGUGGGAUCCUAUG